AUUCAGUUACGUUUUUUCUCCUCGAGAUAUUCGACGACAUCCUUACGUGUCUUCGCCGAUGUUAGUUGCAAGUAAUUGGUAUGCGGAGUAAUUUUAGGAAGUAGGACGUGCUACAGCUGUUUUCCAAGCGAAGACAGAAAGAACUGAUGCAACAGGACAUUCGCAAACUGCAGUUGCAAUUUUUGAACGGUGGUUGACCAAUGAUAAUAUUAGAGUAAUAGUUUUUAAAUAGAUGUAAAAUAUUCGAAUAGUUCUAGAAGCAGAAGUGACAUGCGUCGUUCCAAUCACAAAAGAUUCCCCACCUUUCUAUUAGACAAUAAAAGUCUUGAACUUUACUAACUAUUUAAUCGCACAAUCGCCGUGCACUACACCGCAAUAUCUGCCGAUCACCGAUUGCAGAAGAAAGUUCAUCAUCCUAAUCGAUCCACAGUGUGUUAACUUUAGCUGGACAUUCGCUACCGAUUGUAAUAAGGUAGGCUUACAAAUAUACAAUUUAAUUUGUCCGAAGUUAUCGAAUAAUCAAUGUAUGCCAGAAACCGUAUCUUCUCUUCCCCAAUUACUACUUCACCUGGCUGACCUUCCCAUAGUUCUGUUUCCAAGUCUGACAUAAAUAAAGCGAAUAACAGCAGGCUCGUUGGACUUUCUUGCCUGACUUCCGUCUAUGUUCAGUUCGUUUCCGAUAAUCUGCCCUUGUACCUUAUCGAGAUUGUCUCUUCGUACAUUUCCUUAGUUCCUCGAAUCGAUCAUUCUCUACUUCUCUCGUCCCGAAAACUUUCCACGAUUAAAUACUAUGCAAUUUGUUUGUUUUGUUGCUCGAAUAAAAUAAGAUCGACCCGAUUCAAAUGGGUUGCAAUUACUCAAGGGACAAGCUUACAGCCUUUCGAGUCACGAAUUAUUGCAAAAGAAGAUCGUAAAUUUUAUUGAACUUUCGAGGUAAAGGAAAUAGUACCGUACGCUU